UAUAUUUAUGACCCGUUUGACUGCUGUCUCACAGCGCUGGGAAUAAAAACAGUCCCAUAGCAUCAUCCAUACACACACAUUCACACACUUACGUCCACUGUCCUACACACCGAUGGGAUACCGGGGCUUUGAAGGACUUGUGAACAACCUUAACAGAUCUAAAGAAGUCUGUGUGGAAAUGAAGUUGACAGAGCAGACUGACUACAGAAGUGUGAGUCUGUGGAAAAUGCUUUAAUAUUCAGUACACCAACCUAAAAAACCCCACAAAGUUUUUUGUUUUGUAUGUAAAGGUUUCUUUAAGAAAUAACUUCAGUAAUACCCUACAAAGUCUUACUUUCUAAUACCAGCAUCUUCAUUUCUCAUAUUUGACAUGACAAAUGAAAAUUAACUAAAUUAAACAGAAAUACGUGUUGCUUGUGACAUUUAUUAUUAACUGUUGACUGACUGCAGUUUGCAAUUUAUAAUAAUCUUUUCUACAUUACACUAUGAAAAGGGUCUGUCUUAAUAUGAUAACUCCAGCAGGAAAAAGAGAGAUUCAAAGUGUUUCAGAGGAAGAUGUGACACUGGGGAUAUGACAUGGCUGUGGUUAGGUGCACUAUAACCAGGUUACUGCUACAGCAGUGGAUAUAUGGAGAUAGAUGACAAUUGCUUCUAUAACUUUAUUUGCUUCUGUACAGUUAGGUCUUCAUGGAUGACUCCCUGCACUGCAGAGUGACUGUGGAGGAACAUCAAUCCAGUGGUACAAUACACUGAGGACCACUAUAUACAAACUGUAGACUGUAAAAAUGUCAUGAUAUCUGUUAAAUAUACGUGUUUAAAUUCAAUUUAAAUCAUUCAAUUUCCCAGAUGGAGGAAAAUAUAGUCCUACUGUGCAAGCAACUCAGUAUGUCACUGUCCUAAAUUGGACAAUGAUAGUGACAACGACAGAACCAGCAAAUACAAAAUUCUAUAAUAUAACAACUUAUACUUACAUUGAGCCAAUAUAAAAUAAUCUUUUUUAUAAAACUGAGAACAUCUUUAGUGAUAUAAUGAUUCUAAAGCAUUUUGCAAGCGCUAAUAAGCAUCUGAGAAUUUAAAUUCAAAUCCUUAAUGUCUAUAAAGUGGGCCUAAUUAAUUACAUCUAUGUAUUUUAACUAUCUAAUAAAUGAACACUCUUCCUAUUACUACUCUCACAUCACCACUGUUUUGCUCAGUAUAGGCCACUGGUUCAAUGAAAGCUGAAAUCCACAGUCACAGGGCAAAAAAGGAAAAAGGAAAUACAUUUUAGACCAUCCUGCUGUUUUAAAUCUAUUCUUGUACAAAGGCAGAGGAAAAUGUCAUUUGCCAACGUCAUAUGGGUUUGUUGUAAUAAAAUGUUUUUGGUUGUGUAGCCUGGUUAGGCUGCAGUGCAUUGACCGAGGUAUGGGGAGAAAAAAAUAAUGUUUUCUGCUGAGGAGGUUUGAUUGAAUAUGGUGCGUGGUUAUUGACAAAAGCAGGAACACACACACUCACACACACAGACACGUUUAUGCAUACAUAACAUGCAUUCCACAGACAGUAGACUCACCUGAAAUGAUCAUACAUCAUUACUGACUGCACUACAAUCAAUACCCAAUUAACAUGCUCUAAAUAUGGCCCAUGGAGCAGAUACAUGACACACACACACACACACACACACACACACACACACACAUACACAUAUCCACAUGUGACAGUCUAUUCAAUCUAACUAGAAGGAUUUGCAGGCUGUAAGUCAGUAGGUGUUGGACCGUGCAUGGAGGUCUGACGUUCCUCAGU
rnacentral:lncRNA from 15 species